CUACGGGCGGCUGCAGUGAGGAAUAUUGCACAAUGGGGGGAACCCUGAUGCAGCAACGCCGCGUGGAGGAUGACGCAUUUCGGUGUGUAAACUCCUUUUAUAUGUCAAGAAAAUGACGGUAGCAUAUGAAUAAGCACCGGCUAACUCCGUGCCAGCAGCCGCGGUAAUACGGAGGGUGCAAGCGUUACUCGGAAUCACUGGGCGUAAAGGACGCGUAGGCGGGUUGGAAAGUCAGGUGUGAAAUCCUACAGCUUAACUGUAGAACUGCACUUGAAACUUCUAAUCUAGAGUAUGGGAGGGGGAGAUGGAAUUAGUGGUGUAGGGGUAAAAUCCGUAGAUAUCACUAGGAAUACCUAAAGCGAAGGCGAUCCCCUGGAACAUUACUGACGCUAAGGCGUGGAAGCGUGGGGAGCAAACAGGAUUAGAUACCCCGGUAGUC
rnacentral:rRNA from 1 species